rnacentral:rRNA from 1 species
GAUGAACGCUAGCUACAGGCUUAACACAUGCAAGUCGAGGGGUCUCGAGAGGGCUUGCUCUUGAGAGACGACCGGCGCACGGGUGAGUAACGCGUAUCCAACCUGCCCUUCAUAUUGGGAUAGCCUCUCGAAAGGGAGAUUAAUACCGAAUAACAUAGUUAGUUGCCUGACCAGACUAUGAAAGCUCCGGCGAUGAAGGAUGGGGAUGCGUUCCAUUAGGUAGUAGGCGGGGUAACGGCCACCUAGCCGACGAUGGAUAGGGGUUCUGAGAGGAAGGUCCCCCACACUGGAACUGAGACACGGUCCAGACUCCUACGGGAGGCAGCAGUGAGGAAUAUUGGUCAAUGGGCGCAAGCCUGAACCAGCCAAGUAGCGUGAAGGAUGACUGCCCUAUGGGUUGUAAACUUCUUUUAUACGGGAACAAAUGUUGCUACGUGUAGUAAUUUGCGUGUACCGUACGAAUAAGCAUCGGCUAACUCCGUG